UGAGAUGAGGGUGACCUGGGUUUUGUGUCUCAGGCCAGCUGGUCUGGGGCUCACCUUUGUGUUCCCUCAUUACUCUACAUAUGUCCCUCUCAACACUUCUUUCUUGCUUGAAAACAAGAGGAGGAAUAUGUACAUAUUUUAAUCAAGGGUAUUUUAAAUAUUUGUUUAAAGGAAUUGAAUACAAAAGCACAAGAAAUACAAAAAUGUUUCGUAUAAGGUAUACAUGGGAAAGUCUUU
rnacentral:snRNA from 1 species